UACAUCCUUCGGGGCAGGGUGAAAUUCCCUACCGGCGGUGAUGGCGUGUAUAGAUUGCGCCUUAGCCCGUGACCCGCUUUUAGCGGUGGAUUCGGUGAAACUCCGGAGCCGACAGUAUAGUCUGGAUGGGAGAAGGAUGAU
rnacentral:ncRNA from 2 species